rnacentral:rRNA from 1 species
AGGUAGGACUACCCGCUGAACUUAAGCAUAUCAAUAAGCGGAGGAAAAGAAACCAACAGGGAUUGCCUCAGUAGCGGCGAGUGAAGCGGCAAAAGCUCAAAUUUGAAAUCUGGCGUCUUUGGCGUCCGAGUUGUAAUUUGAAGAAGGUAUCUUUGGGCCCGGCUCUUGUCUAUGUUCCUUGGAACAGGACGUCACAGAGGGUGAGAAUCCCGUGCGAUGAGAUGACCCGGGUCUGUGUAAAGUUCCUUCGACGAGUCGAGUUGUUUGGGAAUGCAGCUCUAAGUGGGUGGUAAAUUCCAUCUAAAGCUAAAUAUUGGCGAGAGACCGAUAGCGAACAAGUACAGUGAUGGAAAGAUGAAAAGAACUUUGAAAAGAGAGUGAAAAAGUGCGUGAAAUUGUUGAAAGGGAAGGGCUUGAGAUCAGACUUGGUAUUUUGCAUGCUGCUCUCUCGGGGGCGGCCGCUGCGGUUUACCGGGCCAGCAUCGGUUUGGAGCGGCAGGAUAAUGGCGGAGGAAUGUGGCACGGCUUCUGCUGUGUGUUAUAGCCUCUGACGAUACUGCCAGCCUAGACCGAGGACUGCGGUUUUUAACCUAGGAUGUUGGCAUAAUGAUCUUAAGUCGCCCGUCUUGAACCACGGACC